GUGGCCAUAGGGUAGCGGACGUAGACGGCGGCGAUCGCAUUUCCGCGGCGAGUGGUGAGGCGGAGGACGUCGACGUUCUCGCGGUGGGGGAACUGGUGGAGAAGGAGGAGACCAGUGGCAUCGUCGGUAAUCAGCUUGUAGGAAGGUGGGGUUGGAGGGAAGAAAGCGAAUUUGGCAGCCAUGGACGAUGUCACCCCUCCCAUUUCUU
rnacentral:lncRNA from 1 species